rnacentral:lncRNA from 10 species
GGCACAACAACAUGUACUAAGUGAUAAAAAGAUGAAUCAAGCCUGUUAUAAAUGCAUAAUAACUGCCAAUUACUGGGCACUGCAACAUUCUAAUUGUUUUGUAGGUACUAGGUCACUGAUUCUCAACAGCAUCUCUGUACCAGUCACACUGGCCUUAUAGAACAAAUGAGUGACCUGAGAUAUUACAGCUUGUAAGAGGUGAAGGAGGGGAACUACUUGAGCAAAAGGCCCAGUGGAU